AUUGAACGCUGGCGGAAUGCUUUACACAUGCAAGUCGAACGAUGAACCUUAGCUUGCUAAGGGGAUUAGUGGCGAACGGGUGAGUAAUAUAUCGGAACGUGCCUUGUAAUGGGGGAUAACUAGUCGAAAGAUUAGCUAAUACCGCAUACGCCCUGAGGGGGAAAGUAGGGGAUCUUCGGACCUUACGUUAUAAGAGCGGCCGAUAUCUGAUUAGCUAGUUGGUGGGGUAAUGGCCUACCAAGGCGACGAUCAGUAGCUGGUCUGAGAGGACGACCAGCCACACUGGAACUGAGACACGGUCCAGACUCCUACGGGAGGCAGCAGUGGGGAAUUUUGGACAAUGGGCGCAAGCCUGAUCCAGCCAUUCCACGUGAGUGAAGAAGGCCUUCGGGUUGUAAAGCUCUUUCGCAAGGGAAGAAAACUUACCAUCGAAUAAAUGGUGAGGCUGACGGUACCUUGAUAAGAAGCACCGGCUAACUACGUG
rnacentral:rRNA from 1 species